rnacentral:misc_RNA from 1 species
GAUGAAGAACGUAGCAAAAUGCGAUACUUGGUGUGAAUUGCAGAAUCCCGUGAACCAUCGAGUUUUUGAACGCAAGUUGCGCCCGAAGCCUUUUGGCCGAGGGCACGUCUGCCUGGGCGUCACGCAUCGCGUCGCCCCCCACAAUUCUCCGUAAAGGGAACAUGUGUUUUGGGGGCGGAUAUUGGUCUCCCGUGCUCAUGGCGUGGUUGGCCGAAAUAGGAGUCCUUUCGAUGGACGCACGAACUAGUGGUGGUCGUAAAAACCCUCGUCUUUUGUUUCGUGCUGUUGCUCGCAAGGUAAACUCUUUAAAAACCCCAAUGUGUCGUCUCUUGACGACGCUUCGACCGCGACCCCAGGUCAGGCGGGACUACCCGCUGAGUUUAAGCAUAUCGAUAAGCGGAGGA